CACCGCCCGUCACACCAUGGGAGUCGAUUGCUCCAGAAGUGCCUGAGCCAACCGCAAGGAGGCAGGGCCCAGGAGUGAUCGGUAACUGGGGUG
rnacentral:rRNA from 1 species